GAGUUUGAUCAUGGCUCAGGAUGAACGCUGGCGGCGUGCUUAACACAUGCAAGUCGAACGAACCUUCGGGUUAGUGGCGGACGGGUGAGUAACGCGUGAGAAUCUGCCCUCAGGAGGGGGAUAACGGUUGGAAACGACCGCUAAUACCCCAUAUGCCGCGAGGUGAAAUGAAUUUCGCCUGAGGAUGAGCUCGCGUCUGAUUAGCUAGUUGGUGGGGUAAAGGCCUACCAAGGCAUCGAUCAGUAGCUGGUCUGAGAGGAUGAUCAGCCACACUGGGACUGAGACACGGCCCAGACUCCUACGGGAGGCAGCAGUGGGGAAUUUUCCGCAAUGGGCGAAAGCCUGACGGAGCAACGCCGCGUGAGGGAUGAAGGCCUCUGGGCUGUAAACCUCUUUUAUCAAGGAAGAAGAUCUGACGGUACUUGAUGAAUAAGCCACGGCUAAUUCCGUGCCAGCAGCCGCGGUAAUACGGGAGUGGCAAGCGUUAUCCGGAAUUAUUGGGCGUAAAGCGUCCGCAGGCGGCCCUUCAAGUCUGCUGUUAAAAAGUGGAGCUUAACUUCAUCAUGGCAGUGGAAACUGUUGGGCUUGAGUGUGGUAGGGGCAGAGGGAAUUCCCGGUGUAGCGGUGAAAUGCGUAGAUAUCGGGAAGAACACCAGUGGCGAAGGCGCUCUGCUGGGCCAUCACUGACGCUCAUGGACGAAAGCCAGGGGAGCGAAAGGGAUUAGAUACCCCUGUAGUCCUGGCCGUAAACGAUGAACACUAGGUGUCGGGGGAAUCGACCCCCUCGGUGUCGUAGCCAACGCGUUAAGUGUUCCGCCUGGGGAGUACGCACGCAAGUGUGAAACUCAAAGGAAUUGACGGGGGCCCGCACAAGCGGUGGAGUAUGUGGUUUAAUUCGAUGCAACGCGAAGAACCUUACCGGGGUUUGACAUCCUGCGAAUCUCUUGGAAACGAGAGAGUGCCUUCGGGAACGCAGUGACAGGUGGUGCAUGGCUGUCGUCAGCUCGUGUCGUGAGAUGUUGGGUUAAGUCCCGCAACGAGCGCAACCCACGUCUUUAGUUGCCAGCAUUUAGUUGGGCACUCUAGAGAGACCGCCGGUGAUAAACCGGAGGAAGGUGUGGAUGACGUCAAGUCAUCAUGCCCCUUACAUCCUGGGCUACACACGUACUACAAUGCUACGGACAAAGGGCAGCAAGUUCGCGAGGACAAGCAAAUCCCAUAAACCGUGGCUCAGUUCAGAUCGUAGGCUGCAACUCGCCUACGUGAAGGAGGAAUCGCUAGUAAUCGCAGGUCAGCAUACUGCGGUGAAUACGU
rnacentral:rRNA from 1 species